AUUGAACGCUGGCGGCAUGCCUUACACAUGCGAGUCGAACGGCAGCACGGACUUCGGUCUGGUGGCGAGUGGCGAACGGGUGAGUAAUGUAUCGGAACGUACCUUUCAGUGGGGAAUAACGUAGCGAAAGUUACGCUAAUACCGCAUAUUCUGUGAGCAGGAAAGCAGGGGAUCGAAAGACCUUGCGCUGAUUGAGCGGCCGAUAUCAGAUUAGCUAGUUGGUGGGGUAAAGGCCUACCAAGGCGACGAUCUGUAGCGGGUCUGAGAGGAUGAUCCGCCACACUGGAACUGAGACACGGUCCAGACUCCUACGGGAGGCAGCAGUGGGGAAUUUUGGACAAUGGGGGCAACCCUGAUCCAGCCAUGCCGCGUGAGUGAAGAAGGCCUUCGGGUUGUAAAGCUCUUUCGGCCGGGAAGAAAUCGCAUAGGCUAAUACCCUGUGUGGAUGACGGUACCGGAAUAAGAAGCACCGGCUAACUACGUG
rnacentral:rRNA from 1 species